rnacentral:rRNA from 1 species
UAGAGUUUGAUCAUGGCUCAGGAUGAACGCUGACAGAAUGCUUAACACAUGCAAGUCUACUUGAAUUCACUUCGGUGAUAGUAAGGUGGCGGACGGGUGAGUAACACGUAAAGAACUUGCCUUACAGUCUGGGACAACUAUUGGAAACGAUAGCUAAUACCGGAUAUUAUGAUUUUCUCGCAUGGGAAGAUUAUGAAAGCUAUAUGCGCUGUAAGAGAGCUUUGCGUCCCAUUAGCUAGUUGGUGAGGUAACGGCUCACAAAGGCGACGAUGGGUAGCCGGCCUGAGAGGGUGAACGGCCACAAGGGGACUGAGACACGGCCCUUACUCCUACGGGAGGCAGCAGUGGGGAAUAUUGGACAAUGGACCAAAAGUCUGAUCCAGCAAUUCUGUGUGCACGAUGACGGUCUUCGGAUUGUAAAGUGCUUUCAGUUGGGAAGAAAGAAAUGACGGUACCAACAGAAGAAGCGACGGCUAAAUACGUGCCAGCAGCCGCGGUAAUACGUAUGUCGCAAGCGUUAUCCGGAUUUAUUGGGCGUAAAGCGCGUCUAGGUGGUUUGAUAAGUCUGAUGUGAAAAUGCGGGGCUCAACUCCGUAUUGCGUUGGAAACUGUCAAACUAGAGUAUCGGAGAGGUGGGCGGAACUACAAGUGUAGAGGUGAAAUUCGUAGAUAUUUGUAGGAAUGCCGAUAGAGAAGUCAGCUCACUGGACGAAUACUGACACUGAAGCGCGAAAGCAUGGGGAGCAAACAGGAUUAGAUACCCUGGUAGUCCAUGCCGU